CCCAUUCCAUCCUCCUUCCUGCAUCCAGUAGUCUCCCAGCCCCGCCUCACCCUCCCACUGCUCCAGAAGAAUGACAGAACUCAGAGCUGCAAGAGAAAGAAGACUGAAUUCAGUCUCUCUUGCAGAAAAAUUGUUUUCCGUCAAGUUGAUAAUAAUGAUCACACUGAGAAUGAAUGACUCAAGAUGAAUAUCCAAAGAUAUAUCAAAACCUGGUCAGCAGUCGUGGGGAAAGGAAGAAAGCCUGAGUUGAGUUUAUGAAAGUUUUCCACUAAAGUCAGCAACAGCUUAAAUUCAAACCAGGCACAAGACGCUUGAAUCUCCAUAUGAGUUGUUCAUCAAAGGGCUGAAAGAAAAGAAAUCUGAGCCCGAGCACGGUCUGGCCUAAAAGCUUUCAAGUGACUCCUUUCUGAUGUUGCCUCCUGCUGUGCAAUCUUCACAUCCAAAGAGGCACUAAGAAGCAAAACAUCUGGGAUGCUCUAUUAUAGAAGUUUCCUGGGAAUUGGAUGCUGAGAUGAAAAGCAUAUGAGUAGCUUUCUUCCAGCAUUCUUCUUGGUGAUUAACCAACUAUCCAAGUACAAAGUUGCUCCUAAUUAACCCUGAGGACCCCAAUAUAAAGUUGCAAAUGAAAGAAGUCCUGCUACUCUAAAGAAUAACUAAACCAGACUGGAGUCACUGAAACUGAUGGAAGAACAUCUCAGGCAUGAGUGCCAUGGUGACGUCAUCAGCUCCGUUCACAACCACUCACCAUGAGGCCAUUGCUCCUGUGGAGGACACUGGCUUAGGACUCAUGAAGUAGUACCUCAGGAAGGUGUCUCUGUAAGUGUUCCUUCCACCAGCUCCAAGACACAAUGAGAUGGAGAGAACUGGAACAAUUCCCUAUGAUUGCAGCUGGAUAUUUUCACAUGAACUAUCUAGUAAUGAAGGCAAUGGCAUGUGGUGUGGCAAAGACUGGCCCCAGAUUACAUUUCCAGUCCUUUUGUACUGAGGAGGGGCUUUGGGACCAAGACAGUAGGAGUGAGGGUACAGGUUCCACAUUCUAUUUCUCUCUUAGUUUUCUGUGGUUAUCUUGGUGACUGCAUGGUAAAGAUGGAGGUGACAAAAGAUGGAAGGAGCCUGGAUCCCUGAAUGACUUCAUGGUGCAGAGCCUUACACUACCCCCAACUCAUACUAAAACAGGGGUGGGAGGAACAAUAGACCAUUAUUCUGUUAAGGUGCUGAAAUUGUAGAGCUGUUAAUUUGAACAGUUAGAGUUUCUUAUACUGAUACAGUAUCCUUACCCUGGAUUGUUGAAAUAAUUAGUCCAAAUAGUUUCUUUGCCUAAAACUGUGGACAGAGCCUAAGCAAUAUUGAAUCCAAGACAAGGUAUAUUUAUCAUCAAAUGCUACUCACUAUACAAUACAGAUGAAUGUGGCACUUACUUCCCGUGUUGUUACCCAGCCUGCUUCUAGUAUUCUUUACACAAAAUAACAUUCAUGAGCAACCUGGGCACAAGAGGUCUCUGUCAAAAUAAGUCUUUGAUUUCUCUCCAGAUAAACUCGUGUGUGUGUGUGUGUGUGUGUGUGUGUGUGUGCAUGUCCAUUUUAUAUUUGGUUUUAGUUACAAUUCAAGGAGUCUUUCCUUUUAGACAAUGGUCCAUACAUUCAUGGAAGGCAGAACUAAUCAGAGAACCUGGUUCAAAAGUUUUAGGGGAUUCUUUGAGAAAUGUUUCCCAGAAUUUAAACUUGGGACUUGACUAUAAGUAUUAGUGUACAAAAUCACAGAGGAUAUCAAAGCAAGAUUCUUCCUGUUCUCCCAGAAAAAAAAAUAUAUUCUUGGAAAAUUAUUUUCCUAGACUGUCAAGCUCAGAGAUGGACAGUUGGCCAAUGAAGGCCUCAUCUACAGCAAGAAUGAAGAAUCUGAGCCUCAGCAGUGAAAACACUGCCUACUACUUCACUACCACCCUUUGGACUAAAACCAGAACAAACUUGCAUUUAAACCAUUAAAAAUGCCACACACAUUAAAUUCUGUGCCUGGGCCAGGCAGCUCCCAAGGCAGAUGGUGUGUAGUGUUGGAAAACUUGGUAUUAUUUAAAUGAAACAAGCAUUCCAUUGCUCUCGAUCACACUGAACAAUGAAGAUUUCACACCCAGCGAUUCUAUCAUCAGUGGAGCUCUCUCUGUCUCCAUUUGCAGCAUUGGACAGAUAAAUAAAUAUUCUUUAGAUCAAGUUAACUGCCUGAUGUUUCUUAGAGAGACAGAAACUCUAAUGAUCAAGUUGAUGUAGCAGUGGGUCAUUAUCAUCUUCCUCUGAGACCCACUGUUUGAGGGAGAAGUGUGCAGUAUGCUGCAAUAUGACUUUAAGAAAGUAUUAACAUGCCUAAGAUGACUUGAAAUUGCCAGUCUUCUGGGCUGUUGUGGGGGACAUUGGAAGGAAUCAAUGAACAUUUCCAGGAGAUUACAGAGAUCACAGGGGAAAUUGUUUAGUUAGAACUGUGUACACAAAGCUGACUUUAGACACCUGCAAAAAUCAGAAUCAUUGAAAAAAAAGAGAGAGAGAGAAAGGAAAAGAUAAAAGAAAGCCAAGAUGCUGUGUCCCAUUCCAAGUAAUACUGCUCUCCCCUUCCAAUGCUUCCAUACCAUUCUCCAAACCUGAAGCUCCCUGGAGCCAGGUUCCAUCACUAAUGGGGCAUCUCAGUUCCGACUAGAUCAUACUGGGUUGCCUGAUUUGCUGGAGAACCUCAGUGAGGAGCUGCAAGUGACUUGGUUUCUGUGCUUAAGAAACAGCAGACUACAAGGCAAAGAGCAUGGCAGAAGGGAUCAACUCAGCUUUUGUCUCUAAAACCAUCCCCAUGUCUUUUGGGGAUAAAGCCUGACUUUUAUUCCUCCCUUGAUAAUCUGUCCUUUACCUCUUGGGAUUUGGCAUUAAGCCACUCCAUAGCUUUGCUAAUUCUUGGGAGGAAGGCAUUUAUCAGGACAAAAGAGGAACCUGCACUCUCAAAGGCUUACAGGGGCAGUCAUCACGUUUGUUUGCUAUCUACUCUGAAAACAAUGACGUCUGGAUCGCAUGGGCAGAAGUCACAGGGGCCUACAAGAACCAGGCUGUGACAGCCGGGAAGCUAAUGUGUGUUACCACGGAAUCCACCAAGGGGAAAAACUUUGAAACAUUUUAAAAAUGCAGGUGCACAAAUUACUCAUGCCAGGAGCGGCAGUGGCACUUUGUAAUAAAAUCUUAUGUUUAUUUUCCACUGUUGAAUACACAUACCUUAGUGUUCCCAGAGAGGGAAGCCUACAAUGCUAUCCAAUGAAUAGUUUGCAGAUGGAUUAAAUACAUGUACCAAUGAAAUAAAACGUGCAGAUUUGGGGCUUUUUGCCUCCUACCUUUGCUCUGGGCCCAGAGCUCCCCGAUGAUGACACGGGAGGUUUGUGCAAAGAUCUGAAGUCAAGAAGGAUUAGUUUAAAGAGUCAGAUGAAAAAGGACACAAAUGAAAAUGCUUCUGCAUGAGCCUGAAAACCAACACUUAGCAAUGAGUGAUUCUGACUUUGGGGCCUGUAACAAAUAAUAGCAAAUGAGGGAAGUUUCCAGUGGCUUCACAGCAGGAGGGCAAUGGCCAGGGAACCACUGUGAAACAGAUCAGUCAACGGGACUUCCUGGUUCUUGAGGAAGCUUUGAAGGCAGGGAGUGUGGCAUACAUGUAAGGGUCUUUGUUGCUAAUAUUUUUUUUUGAGGCAUAUACUUUGCAGGGGCAAAUCUUCAAGUUGCCACUUCCUGAGAACUCCCUCAUUUUAGUGAAUAUAUAUUUCAAGCCCAGUAGUUGAAUAGCACUAUUAUUGGCACUGUGCAGGAACACCAAAAUGUGCAAGACAGGGACUUGAACUCACUGGAGUAAUGAUCUAGUGGCAUUCACAAACCACAUCGUGUGCAGCAGAAUUCUAUGAGAUAUUCAGACAAUAAAGUGCAUAGAGAGAAGGAAGAGGUCCCUCUGGCUAAGGCGAUGGAAGAGAUUAUGAAGGGAGAGCAGGCUAGACUCUGGCCUGCAGGUAAGUAAGAUGCAUGAACCAAUGCUUACGGAGAGGAAAGAAGAGUUGAGUUUAGGAAGGACAAGAGGACCUCUGCCGUUGCUAUGCAGGCUUUGGUUUAGAGAGGAGAAGACAAGAAUCUUAGAAAUGCAUUGAGUGUGCUGCUCUGUGGGCUCAGGAGCAUAACCCAGGCUUUCCACGAGCUCUUCAUUCCAUACACUGCCAUCUAGACACUGGGGCUUCUCAUGUGCUAGGUCCUGCCAGCUUUCCCUGGGAGCCCCUCAGACCGCUACUUGAACUGGUAACGAAAAAUUGAGAAGAUGUGUUGACUACACACCACAAACACACACACACACACACACACACGUGCUAAACUGGCCACUCCCCUACUGACACCACCAUCAGUAUGUCUGGGGCUCGGCUGCCAAGGGAGUUGACCUCCUUGAGGACAGCAGAGUCCAGCCCUCUGUGCAGGGAGUUAAGCUUCUGGUGUGCCUAUUUUCGUAGGGAAGAAGAAAAGAGAGGGCACAAAACGAAUCUCUAUCCCUGUCGAAAUCCUAACAAAGGCCGGGCACGGUGGCUUGUGCCUGUAAUCCCAGCACUUUGGGAAGCUGAGGCAGGCAGAUCACCUGAGGUCAGGAGUUAAAGACCAGCCUGGCCAACAUGGUGAAACCCCGUCUCUACUAAAAAUAGAAAAUUAGCCGGGGGUGGUGGUGGGAGCCUGUAAUACCAGCUACUUGGGAGGCUGAGGCAGGAGAAUCACUUGAAUCUGGGAGGUGGAGGUUGCAGUAGCCAAGACCACGCCAUUGCACUUCAGCCUGGGCGACAAGAGCAAAACUCCAUCUAAAAAAAAAGAGCAAAAAACAAACAAACAAACAAACAAACAAAUCCCAAAAAGACUGCACAGUGGCUGGCUUUUCUCCAGCCUGGUGACAGAAUUUGCAUCUGCCACAAACAGGAACCAAUCUCCUGUCUAUCCUAAGCUCUCAUGUUUGGAUUCUAUUGGCCCUCCUCAGAGGUGGAUGGAGGCGGCACCAAACAUCGUCUAGUGGGGCACUACGUAUAAGAUGGUGUGGUGCUGGGAGGAGAGGACCCCUCACUGUCCCCUCACUGUCUCCUAGCAGGGACAAAGGCGAGAGCAGGGGCACAGAGCAGAAUCCCAAGAGUGAUUUUCUCCCUCCACCAAGCCCCCCUCACCUGUGCAUGCUCCUCCCAGCCCACUCCACAUCACAUAAUUGGCAUGUGAAGAUUGAUCAGCAGUGGUGUGCGGCCUGCUCAACAGACGGAUCAGCUGUGGCAUGUGUUCAGCUGGGCAAACCUAGCACGAAGAUGUUUCUGUCGGUGUGCAGGGGACAGCCGUCCAUCAACAGCCAUCUUGUUUUGUUUAUUUGUUUAAGCAACCACAGAUGCGAGAGAGAAAGAGACAGAGAGAGAGAGAGAGCAAGUGAGUGAGGAGAAUAUUUCCACCCCCCCUCUCCCCUACAGAUCUGUCCCGAGGCUUCGAAUCUUCUUUCCCACUCUAAGCACUCUGGGCCACAUUCGAUUCUAUUUUUGUGCCCCUCUUCAACUGCAAUGAGGCUUGCUUUGGCAUCUGAGCUACCACCUGCCGUCUGCUCUUUAGUUCCUGUUUGCUGUAAAUCUCGCUUUGGGUCUUGGGUAUCUUCACAGCUAGUUCUGCAGAAGAGAAAGGAGCAUUUUGGUCUUGAGGUAACUCCCAGUCGGUCUCCAGCUUCCUCCAGAUGGAACUCUGCCCUGCUGUAGCCUCUGUGAAGACCAGCUGCCUCUGGCUUUAGCAUUUUCCUGCAGCUAACAGGCAUCAGCCCGGAGAACAAUUGUCUUGGAGGAGAGAGGGAGAGUCUGGGCUGAAAACUGCCAUGCAGGGAUGGGAGCCAUUUUUAAAGCCCUCCUGAAUGUUCAGUUGUGAAAUCAACAUCCUGAUUGUUGUGGAGCUUCAAGCAGGUGAAAACAUAAGAUGAAAGGAAAUGAAGUGACUGCUGACAGGCUGGAGAGCAUGACUUAAUCAGCAGCUAAAAUCAAUGAGUCGAAGGCUGCUGCCCCCAGCAAAAAUCAAUGGGGGAAAAGGACUGCUGGCCAAGAUCUCUCCUACAUUUUUAUUUGCCCCAAGACCACCCAAGACUUUCCUAUCCUGCUCGUGCCCUGCCUAAAAUGCUAAUUUAGGCUGUGACUUGAUAGGCCCUUGAAAAUUUCCUGGAAAUCUAGCCUCCUACCCUGAAUUAAUAAGUUGUAAGGAACAACCUCAAAUCUCGAAGGAUUAAUCCAAUAAAAGUUAAUUUCUCCUGCAUGCUGAGACCAAUAAAGAUAUUUCUCUUCUGGCAGCUUUCCUGGUGGCUCUCCUUCAAGCCGUGACAUGGGGAUCUAGGCUUCUCCCAUCUUGAGAUGUCUCCAACUUUAAUCGAGGGCCUCUCCGGUGGCUGUAGAAGCAGAAGAGAGUAUGGGGAAGGCACAUUAGGUAGUUAACCAUCUUGCCUGAAAGUGACACCUGCCACUUCUGUUCACAUUCCAUUGGCCUGCAUUCGCCAGUUGGUCCCACGAAGAUGUGAGGAGUCAGGAAAAUAAAAACCCUGGCUGGAUAUCCUUGGACUCCACAUAGUUGGCUCUACCAUAUUCCCCUAAAUAAUACUCACAUCCCCUGACAAACAACACUCAGAAUCCUAAAACCACCAAGUGGAAAAAAAUUGCUACAUUCCCACCUACUUUGAAUCUCCUCUUUACGGCUUAGAAACCCAACCGUCACUGACAUUUGCCCAUUGACAUUUUCCAUGUAGCCUGUUAGACCAUUUCUUCCCUCUUAGCAUCUUCUACAGAACUUCCAUAGACCUGUUUUCCUUUGUCUUUGUACUUUCUGGUUGUUUUCUAGAACUUCUCCAGUUUCUCUGCAUGUAGUGUUGGUUCUUGUCCUUAAGGUAAAUAAGUUGUUACUGGACCACAUCCUAUUGUGGGCAGAUUUAAGGUCUAAUUUAAAUAGACUUGGGAGAUUAGAGGUAUAGGUGAUAUUAAAAUGAUUAUUAUUUUUAAAUUUAUUCUGGUCUUCUAGAACUUCCAGGGCACCAGCAGCUCUUCCCAUAUUAUUCCAUCUGAAAUCUCAGGUUAUCAAAUAGCACACGGCCCAGCCAAGGCACAAUAUACAUGGGACAGUGUCUAGCUCAGAUCUCACCUGUGACCUUCCUCUACAGAUAUAUUUAUUGAAUUUAAAGAUGCUGGGAUGCCAAGGGGUUAUUAUAGAAGUAUGAGGUUGUAUUCCUCUAGGGAGAAGCUCCAGCCUUCUUACCUAUUCAACGAAUCAUCUUUAGACUCCCACUUCCCAUGCAUAUUAUUUUCUUUAUAAGUAACCUAAAACAGAAUCAUCCCCUAUUUAAGAACUGAUAGCAUCAGCAAGGCCACACUCCUUUGAUGUUUAGGGGCUUUCCCAAGCUGAAAAUGCCCUGCUCAUAAAUCAUUCAAUCAUUCACUGAGGAAAUGUUUACUGAUCACUGCUGUGUGCACUGUUGUAGGCACCAAGGAAAUGAAGGCAGAUAAACAUGGUCUUUGAUAUCAAAGAGGUCAUAGUCUCAUUCAGAAGAUAGAAAUGGAGACAAACAGCUCUAAUACAUAUAAGCCCUAUCUUUUGCCUUGCUCAAGAUACCAGGGUGGUGCAAAAUAAAAAAUAACUGAACUCUGUGUAGAAGGAAUAAGGUUAGGAAAAAUUUUGCUUCGUGGAGAAUAUGAUGCUUAAAUUGAGUAUUGUGAUAUGAGACAGAAUCUUCUCUAUAAAUAAGAAGGCGAUAUAGAAAGAACAAUCUAGUCUACAAGAAUAACAUUUGCAAAGAAAUAAAGGCAUAACUUCGUAGUGCGUGAUGAAAAAAUUCUCAAUGAGGUUAAGAAUUUAGAGAGGAUAUGUGGAUGCAAGGAGGGGAAGAGUGAAAAGUGGCAAAAGCAGUUUAGGUAGAAAGAUAGAUACAGAAUCAUGAUUGCCAUGGCUUAGGAUCUAACGAGGCUUCAGCAGGAGAUAAGGAAGAAAAGCUGCUUUUCUGAGUAUUUCUUGCUGUGAAGAGGAAGCCCAGCAGUGCUGCCCUCCAGACAGUGCUCCACAGUCAGGCCAUUCUGCUCUCUGGCUGUACCUCCAUAGCUAUCGUCCCCAAAGCCCCUUCCUGCUCUGUGCCUUUGCAAACGUCUGUGAAACCUUCUGCAUAUCCCAAACUUGCCUACUCUUUCUCAAACACCCCGUUCUGCACCAGUUGCCUUCAGGGCAGCUUCAGUGGCCCUGCACCCAAACUCUCAGUUGAUGUGGAAUUGGCCCCAAGCCAUUUGGCCCUGAGUAAUCACUCAUAUAAGGACUUUCCUCUCCCCACCUAAGAUCGUGCAUUGUGUGAUGGAGUGGAGUGGAGUUAUCAUCCACAAAUUGUGUCUCCCACCACACUCAGUAGAGUGCAGGCCACAUAGAAAUUAUAAAAUACAGACUUAGUGAUUAGUCGAAAGGGAAUGUUGCUAAGGUUAUCUUAGGCUCACCUACAUUAGAAUUAGCUUCUGUAGUUCUUAGAAUGCAGAUAUGGGAGGCCCAGUCCAAGAUCUACUAACUCAGAUAUCGGGCGGGGUGAUCUGCAGAUUUAAUAAGUGCCCUAAGUGGUUUUUAUGAACAUGGAAAUUUGAGAAUCAGUGACCUAGAUGGGGGUUGGUAAACUCUUUCUGUAAAGGGCCAGAGAGUAAAUAACGUAGGCUUUGUGGGCCAGAUAUGGUCUGUAGUGCAUAUCCUUCUUCUUUUCAAUUCUUUAAAAAUAUAAAAGCAUUCUUCGUUUUGGGCUGUACAAAAGCAGGCCACAGGCUAGAUUUGGCCCAUGAGCCAUAGUUUGUGAACCUCUGGCCAAGAUGAGGGGUUCCUCAUCUCCUCUAGAGGCUUCAGAGACAUGUGAAAUCCAGUGGCUUCAGGUGUGGACAGUCUAGAGAGAAAUCUCCACUUCGGUUCUUUGCAGGGAGCAGGGCCCAUUUGCCCUACAACUUUCCCUUGUGCCCUGGCAUUAUAGGAAUGUGCCCAGGCUUCUUGGCGGAUGUCCUCUAGUCUGGCCAGCACCAUAGGACAGUUCUCUCUGCCAGUUCCUGGAGCCCGCACCCUGUGGCUCGCCUACAUCGGGCCCUAAACACAACCUCUCUCCAUGUUAUUACAUUAAUACAGGCAAGGGAGUUCCUAAAACCAGAAUGGGACUGCAGUUCCCAAACCCCCUACCUCCUCCUGACCUGCAUGGUUAGGUGCUGCCUUUCUGCAGGAGCCUGGAUGUCAGCAUCUAGAUGCCUCAGGACCAGCUGUCCAAUCCCCCUUCCACCAAUCCCUGUUUUAGGUCCUCCAUGAACUUUUUCUUAGGGGAAAGCAGAAAUCCUAUCCCAUCCUGCUGCACUCACAGGAAGAGUUUGACAGUGGUUAAGAGAUCAUUCUCCUCAUUCAGCACCUCGGUGAGGUGUGAAUUUGCACAAGAUGAUUCAAUAUAUUUUCUUUGUGUAUUCUUCAGUAUAUUCAUGCUGUCCGGUGAAUUUUUGACAUUUCGGUGUGCUGCUCUAAGCUGCCCGUGUUGGGGACCUGAUCCUGACCCUGACUAUGGCUUUUAAGCAAGGAGAGCCAGAAUAAACCCAGACAAAUAGUCCUUUGCAGUGUGCACUGGUGCCCAGGUAGCCCUUGGUUAUCUGCUGUGUUCAGUCCUCCGGAGGGAGUGAUGAAAAGGGCAGUCGGCCCUCCUUCCAAGAUAGCUUGUAAGCAGUCCUGCCUUGAGGCUGAGGGUAGACGAGAUGACCCCUCCAGUCCCAUCCAGUCUUGGUAUCCUGUGAUUUCUCACGUGAGUCCAUUUUGUGCCCUGGGCUCACGUACAUCAAUUAAAAACACAACAGUGUAUGCUUCCACAGGAGGGAGGAAAAUGAACCAUAGCAGUCUUCCUAUCCGAACCAGACCCCAUUUUUCCAAGUCACCACCUUACUCUCAUCUGUAAAGCGCUAAAUAGCCUGAGACCCAGUUAUCUUUGUGACAAUCUCUCCCCAGGUGCCCCAUCACGGUAAUUACGCUCAGCGGGGAGCCUGGAGCUGCCCAUCUCUGGAGUUAAACUCAUUAAGACAGGAGACUGAGAAAUCUCCGCAGAGGGUCCCUGCCCCUGAAAUCAUGGGCAUUCCUCUUCCUUGGCUACCAGUUUUGGGGUUUGGAGGAGUCUGGGGUCUGGUCUGAGGCUCCACAUUGCCACAGAGCUUGCUUUAACCUGGAUUUGCUGUUGUGAUUUGUACUUUGGGGAAGAUACUUACUAUGGGAGUCUGCAAAGAGAACAGGUUCCAUUUCAUGAAAUGAAAUGAGGAUUGAAACAAAGCCAUGGAGGUUGCUUAUUCCAAAUAUUGAACAUGAUGAACAAGUUGAUUUGUCAAUAUUUCUCA
rnacentral:lncRNA from 1 species